GUUAGCCCCUCCAAAUGUAGGGCGGCCUUAGGACUUCUUGCAAUGCAUCAUCCUCCUGUUAAGCCAGCCAUUAAGUCUAGAUCCACUGUUCGGAAGCGUUUAUCUUUUGCUAUGUUUCAAAAUUAUGAUGUGUGCAAAGGGUAUAGAUAGGAUGCGUCUGCUGAUUGUAUUGCUGCCACGGAAAGUGCUGGUUAUGAGCUUCCUGCUAGAGAGCGUGUUGUUAUUCAUCCGCCACCGCCAGAAAAAUUAAAUUGGACCUUGGCUUCACCGCCGAUCGUUUUUGGCACGGUGAGUUCGUCGGUGAUCCAAUAG
rnacentral:rRNA from 1 species